GUGAUUUUUUAAAUAAAUAAUAAUAAUAUCAUAUUUGAAAAUUUUUUUAGAGACGCUCAAAAUGGUAGCCAGCCUUCGGUUUGAUGCCAGUUAGAUUGCAGUUGAAAUGUUCAAAUAUCAUCAUUUCAAAACUCGACAUUUGUUAAAAAGCUUAUUGGGUAAUUUACUUGGUCUCUUCAAACGAAUGAAAAUUACAGGAGAACAAAGCAAUGAGUAGUCUUCGGUAGCCGUUGUUUGUCUGUUCCAUAUUUUGAGAAGUCAAGUAGAGGGAACAAACAUAGUAUUAUUCAAAUUAUAAAAAAACUAUGAUCAAAGUCAUGAAUUUCAACUAUCAUAUGUUGCUAUUGUGGACUUGGUUGAGUCUUUACUAGCCGUAUAAUUUUAUUCGAUAAGUGCGACUAAAUGCACUCAUUUUAAUUAAUGCAAUUUAGAAUUGAAAAAAAAAAACCGAAAUAAUAUGUUAAAAAAUUAGAAUUCAAAAUUGGUAUCUCAAGAUUUGAACUUAGAUUGCUAGUAAAACAAAACUAUUUAAAAAGUAUUCCGUCUAAUAGCCUAAACGACAUGGCACUUGAUGUGCCUAUUCAUCAAUGCUGAGAAAUUAUCUCAAUAAUGAUAAUUUGAAAUUUAAUAAUAUUAUGGUUACAUAGCUGUAAUACAUAAUUUGCAUCCCAAUCUGUUUAUCACCAAUUAUUUCUUGUUUUGUGUUAAGCAUUAGUUGGCUUUAUAUUUCUAUUAAUAUGAUAAUCUUACUCCAUCUUUCAAAGAAUAAUACAUUAGAUAUCAUAUCAAUUAAUUAGAAUACAAACUAUGUAUUUUAGCUAUUAUUAAUGUAAAUAAAUUUUCAAAGUUUGUACUUUGUUAUCUUCCACCAUGAAAGCUUCAAGCAAACUUAAUUAUAUAUGAUUAUCUUUGAUAAUGAUAAAAAUUUAACCAUAAACUCUACUUCACAUUAUAUUAUUGAAAUAAGCUUAUGAGGCACAUAAUUUUUUGGGGAGAUUGUUGACAGAAAUUAAUAUAUACCAAUUACUCUCCUACUAUUUUCAUAAUAUUUAAAAAUUCCUUUGGCACAAACACUUUAAAGGAAAAGAAGGAUAAAUGAGUCAUUUAUUAUAUAAUUUGUAUUGAGAAUAUGAGAU
rnacentral:lncRNA from 1 species